GCGUUUUUUAAUUUGAGGUAUUUACAUCACUCACACAUACCAAUUUGUUUUCCAGUUUGUAUAAAUAUCACCUGUACCUGUUUGAGUUUUUUGUUUGUUUGUUUGUUUGUUUGUUUGUUUGUUUAAAGAUCACCUGUACCUGUUUGAGUUUUUGUUGUUUGUUUGUUUGUUUAAAGAUCACCUGUACCUGUUUGAGUUUUUGUUGUUUGUUUGUUUGUUUAAAGAUCACCUGUACCUGUUUGAGUUUUUUUUUGUUGUUUGUUUGUUUGUUUAAAGAUCACCUGUACCUGUUUGAGUUUUUGUUGUUUGUUUGUUUGUUUAAAGAUCACCUGUACCUGUUUGAGUUUUGUUGUUUGUUUGUUUGUUUAAAGAUCACCUGUACCUGUUUGAGUUUUUGUUGUUUGUUUGUUUGUUUAAAGAUCACCUGUACCUGUUUGAGUGUUUGUUUGUUUUUUUGUUUGUUUGUUUGUUUGUUUGCUUAUCACUUGUACCUGUUUGAGUUUUUUGUUUGUUUGUUUGUUUUGUUUGUUUGUUGUUUGUUAAAG
ensembl:lncRNA